rnacentral:lncRNA from 1 species
GUAUUUCAAUAAAGAUCAAAACAAAAAUAUGUUUCAAAAGAUAAAUAAAAUAGUCUUUUUUAAAAAAUUAAAAUUUUGUAGGAAUCAAUAACAAUUUUGUAUUUGCCCAUAAGUCGACUCGUAGAUCCGCCACAAAUCCAUUACCCAUAAGCCGACUCGUAGAUCCAUUACCCCUUUAAAUGGAAAUAUUAAUUAAAUAUUAAUAAGUUGCAUAAAAUGUCAUAUAUACCCAUUUCUUUUUGUUCUUGAAAUUAACGGGAGUGGCUGGCUGAUCGAAUUUGAAUAUGAAUCGAGCACUAAUCGGAAUGACAUUCGAGGGUUUUGUUGUUGGAUAAAGGGGAUCGAAGAGGGUUGUGAAUCAAAUGGAAUUUCAGAAGGGGAUUUAGAUUUAGGGUUAAUAAACAGAUCUAAUUAAUUUAGAAUUUUAAAGUAAAUAGUAGACAGGAAGCAGAAAUCGUUGAGUGUUUUGCUUCGUUUUAACGAAUUCACAUAAAAAAUAAUAUAAAAAAUCUGGACCGUUCACUUUUUUUACAUUUAAUCUAACGGCAUUUAAACAACUUCCUCACCGGUGGACCACCUAAGUCCUUGGUCCACCGUAGAAAGAUCCCCUUUUCAAAUGUCAAAUCUAGGCCCUUUUGCUUUGUCAGAAAAGCUAUCGGUCAAAGCAAUUAGACUUUUUAAACCUCGUAGUCAUCGAAGAGAAAAGUAGGUGAACAAAAAAAGAGUUUGGUGGUGGCAUAAGAAAAAAGUUGUAUGCUUCUUAUUUUCAAAGAGGUUUAUGCAAACUUGAAAAAAAUAACAUAAACCUCUUGCUAGAAGCAGCUUAAAACACAAACAAUCGGUGCUUCAAGCUCACAGUUGAUCUGUGCAAAAGAUGGCCGUCAUGGCCACUAUGUUGUCACAUGCGGAUGGAAGAUUUUUGCACCACUAGAAAAAAAGAAUAUGAAGAUAUAUAUAAUUGAGAAAAGAACAAAAAUAAAAGAAAUGUUUUCAACAUAUAUAUGAAGUUAAUUGACCCAUAGAAACUAAACUAAAAUGUGUCAUGGAAUGAAACUAGAUCUAUAUACAAAACGGAAAAC